AUUUCUUCCAGACCGUGACUGAGAAGUAAAGAAGAUGGUUGCAGUGACAGGAUCAAGGCCUAGUGAGUUAUAGCUAAGUCUACAGUGAGAUAUGGCAGUAUUCUGUUUUGAAGUUGGGACUAUCAUAGGCAAACCUGCCGCUUGGUCAAAAUUCUUCUCUCAUGAUGUCUUCCUUGGUCUUUGCCUCCAGCUGGGUGUCACAAACCAUGACCUGGAUCCCAAAGCUUCCAUAAAUGCACUUUUGUUUGCCAUGGCUGCCACAUUAUGUUGUGGGGGAUGUGCAUACAGAACCUCCCAUUCUGUCAUCUUGCUUAUGCUAUCUCCUUUAUGUUUUGCUUUCUGAAAUGAAUGUCAAGUUUGUGAUUUGUAGAUUCAAUAGUUCUAAAAUAAAUUGCUCAAAUAUAGACAUUA